rnacentral:rRNA from 1 species
AUUGAACGCUGGCGGAAUGCUUUACACAUGCAAGUCGAACGGCAGCACGGACUUCGGUCUGGUGGCGAGUGGCGAACGGGUGAGUAAUGUAUCGGAACGUGCCCAGUCGUGGGGGAUAACGUAGUGAAAAUUACGCUAAUACCGCAUACGCUCUAUGGAUGAAAGCGGGGGAUCGCAAGACCUCGCGCGAUUGGAGCGGCCGAUAUCAGAUUAGGUAGUUGGUGGGGUAAAGGCCCACCAAGCCAACGAUCUGUAGCUGGUCUGAGAGGACGACCAGCCACACUGGAACUGAGACACGGCCCAGACUCCUACGGGAGGCAGCAGUGGGGAAUUUUGGACAAUGGGCGAAAGCCUGAUCCAGCCAUUCCGCGUGCAGGAUGAAGGCCCUCGGGUUGUAAACUGCUUUUGUACAGAACGAAAAGGUUUCUACUAAUACUAGGAGCUCAUGACGGUACUGUAAGAAUAAGCACCGGCUAACUACGUGCCAGCCGCCGCAGUAA